rnacentral:rRNA from 1 species
AACGCGAAGAACCUUACCUGGUCUUGACAUCCACGGAAGUUUUCAGAGAUGAGAAUGUGCCUUCGGGAACCGUGAGACAGGUGCUGCAUGGCUGUCGUCAGCUCGUGUUGUGAAAUGUUGGGUUAAGUCCCGCAACGAGCGCAACCCUUAUCCUUUGUUGCCAGCGGUCCGGCCGGGAACUCAAAGGAGACUGCCAGUGAUAAACUGGAGGAAGGUGGGGAUGACGUCAAGUCAUCAUGGCCCUUACGACCGGGGCUACACACGUGCUACAAUGGCGCAUACAAAGAGAAGCGACCUCGCGAGAGCAAGCGGACCUCAUAAAGUGCGUCGUAGUCCGGAUUGGAGUCUGCAACUCGACUCCAUGAAGUCGGAAUCGCUAGUAAUCGUGGAUCAGAAUGCCACGGUGAAUACGUUCCCGGGUCUUGUACACACCG